CCUACGGGUGGCAGCAGUGGGGAAUAUUGCACAAUGGGGGGAACCCUGAUGCAGCGACGCCGCGUGAGCGAUGAAGUAUUUCGGUAUGUAAAGCUCUAUCAGCAGGGAAGAAAAAGACGGUUCCUGACCAAGAAGCCCCGGCGAACUACGUGCCAGCAGCCGUUGUAACACGUAGGGGGCAAGCGUUAUCCGGAUUUACUGGGUGUAAAGGGGGUGUAGACGGGUGUGGAAGUCUGGAGGGAAAGGCAUGGGCGUAACCUGUGGACCGCUUUGGAAACUGGGCGGCUUGAGUGUCGGAGAGGCAAGUGGAAUGCCUAGUGUAGCGGUGAAAUGCGUAGAUAUUAGGAGGAACACCAGUGGCGAAGGCGGCUUGCUGGACGCUAACUGACGUUGAGGCUCGAAAGCGUGGGGAGCAAACAGGAUUAGAUACCCCGGUAGUC
rnacentral:rRNA from 1 species